GAAAGUUGAGAAUGUCCCGGCAGAAACACGACAGUCAACUUUAUCUCCUCUGUAGUCUACUGAAUCUAGAAACACGACAGUCAACUGUCUGUGUUCUAUUCAAGAGAGGAACUCUAGGUACUACACUGUCUGUGUUCUAUUCAGGAGAGGAACUCUAGGACCUACACUGUCUGUGUUCUAUUCAGGAGAGGAACUCUAGGUACUACACUGUCUGUGUUCUAUUCAGGAGAGGAACUCUAGGUACUACACUGUCUGUGUUCUAUUCAGGAGAGGAACUCUAGGACCUACACUGUCUGUGUUCUAUUCAGGAGAGGAACUCUAGGUACUACACUGUCUGUGUUCUAUUCAGGAGAGGAACUCUAGGACCUACACUGUCUGUGUUCUAUUCAGGAGAGGAACUCUAGGUACUACACUGUCUGUGUUCUAUUCAGGAGAGGAACUCUCGGUACUACACUGUCUGUGUUCUAUUCAGGAGAGGAACUCUAGGUACUACACUGUCUGUGUUCUAUUCAGGAGAGGAACUCUAGGUACUACACUGUCUGUGUUCUAUUCAGGAGAGGAACUCUAGGUACUACAACUACACACUGUCUGUGUUCUAUUCAGGAGAGGAACUCUAGGUACUACACUGUCUGUUCUAUUCAGGAGAGGAACUCUAGGUACUACACUGUCUGUGUUCUAUUCAGGAGAGGAACUCUAGGACCUACACUGUCUGUGUUCUAUUCAGGAGAGGAACUCUAGGUACUACACUGUCUGUGUUCUAUUCAGGAGAGGAACUCUAGGUACUACACUGUCUGUGUUCUAUUCAGGAGAGGAACUCUAGGUACUACACUGUCUGUGUUCUAUUCAGGAGAGGAACUCUAGGUACUACACUGUCUGUGUUCUAUUCAGGAGAGGAACUCUAGGUACUACACUGUCUGUGUUCUAUUCAGGAGAGGAACUCUAGGUACUACACUGUCUGUGUUCUAUUCAGGAGAGGAACUCUAGGUACUACACUGUCUGUGUUCUAUUCAGGAGAGGAACUCUAGGUACUACACUGUGUUCUAUUCAGGAGAGGAACUCUAGGUACUACACUGUCUGUGUUCUAUUCAGGAGAGGAACUCUCGGUACUACACUGUCUGUGUUCUAUUCAGGAGAGGAACUCUAGGUACUACACUGUCUGUGUUCUAUUCAGGAGAGGAACUCUAGGUACUACACUGUCUGUGUUCUAUUCAGGAGAGGAACUCUAGGACCUACACUGUCUGUGUUCUAUUCAGGAGAGGAACUCUAGGACCUACACUGUCUGUGUUCUAUUCAGGAGAGGAACUCUAGGUACUACACUGUCUGUGUUCUAUUCAGGAGAGGAACUCUAGGUACUACACUGUCUGUGUUCUAUUCAGG